rnacentral:rRNA from 1 species
AAUGAACGCUGGCGGCAUGCCUAACACAUGCAAGUCGAACGAGACCUCCGGGACUAUUGUCGCAUGGGUGUGUAACGCGUCGGAACCGUCCCUUAUGUUUGGAAUAACUCUCCGACAGGGGUGCUAACACCGGAUAAUGUCUUCUGACCAAAGAUUUAUCGCCCUGGGUUGGGCCCGAGUUGGAUUAGCUGUUUGGGAGGGUAAUAGCAUACUAAGGCGACGAUCCAUAGCUGGGAUGAGAGGAUGGUCAGCCACACUGAGAGGGGGACACGGCCCAGACUCUUACGGGAGGGAGGAGUGGCGAAUAUAGGAAAAUGGGCGGAAGGAUGAUCCAGCAAUGCCGGGUAAGUGAUGAAGGCCUUAGAGUUGUAAAGCUCUUUUACCCAGGAUGAUAAUGACGGUACCGAGAGAAUAAGCCCCGGCUAACUACGUG